rnacentral:rRNA from 1 species
UUCCAGCUCCAAUAGCGUAUAUUAAAGUUGUUGCAGUUAAAAAGCUCGUAGUUGAAUUUCGGGGUUAGUAGGCUGGUCAUGCCUCCGGUAUGUACUGGUCUCACUGAUUCCUCCUUCCUGAUGAACCGUAAUGCCAUUAAUUUGGUGUUGCGGGGAAUCUGGACUGUUACUUUGAAAAAAUUAGAGUGUUUAAAGCAGGCUCGCGCUUGAAUACAUUAGCAUGGAAUAAUGAAAUAGGACGUUUGGUUCUAUUUUGUUGGUUUCUAGGAUCGACGUAAUGAUUAAUAGGGAUAGUUGGGGGCAUUAGUAUUCAAUUGUCAGAGGUGAAAUUCUUGGAUUUAUUGAAGACUAACUACUGCGAAAGCAUUUGCCAAGGAUGUUUUCAUUAAUCAAGAACGAAAGUUAGGGGAUCGAAGACGAUCAGAUACCGUCGUAGUCUUAACCAUAAACUAUGCCGACUAGGGAUCGG